CUAGAUGUGGUAGAAAUUAUGUAAACUUGGGUAGUAAACAAGCCAAUUUUUUUGAAAGAAGCAUAAAUAUAAAAGCCAAAUGAUACCAAUUGCUGAUCCUUUAAACAUUGACAUAGAAAAAGCCAUUAAAAGCUAAGAAGAUGAAAAAAUCCAACUUCUACUUUGUGUCAAAAACUGCAAUGUGUCACACAUUACAGAGGGUAACCUGGAGUCUUCCCUUACACAGAUAAAGUAGUCCCAGCUACUCUUUGUAACAGGCAAGGACGCGCACAGGAUUCGCAUUUUGUGAUUACAAGCAUGGCUUUGCCCUCCUAUGCUUGUCUUGGUUCAGGAUACAGAGAAUGGAAUUCACCUACAACUCCCUCAGGCCAAACCUGUUUAUUUAAGUAAGAAUAAUAAUUCUGGUAACAAAAUAAGCAUUGACUGAAGAAGGUAAAUGUGGAGAAACAUAAACAAGAAAUCAAGUACUUGAUUGUACACCACAAAUUCUGUGGUGCUGAAUGACUUUGACUAUGGGUCUUGAUAUUAAGGCUCAAAUAUUAAGCCUGGUAUUAAACUCAGAUUGAAGGCAAUGAGAGUUUUAUAGGAGCAUGCCUGAUCUGAAAUCCUACUUGAAUUUAAAAAAUGAAUUGGAUUAUUGUACACUCUGCUUCCACUGAGUGGUCUCUGAGCACUGGAUCCACCUGCAGUGCUGGGGUAUCCUGGCUCUCCCCUACUCCUGUCAUUACAGGGGCACUACUCAUCCAGAGAGGAAGAUGUCCUAAAUCCCAAGACGAUUGGCACAGCACACACAAGAGGAAAUCUCAGUGCGCAGCCAAUGCCAGGCAAUGAAGGAUCCUCUGUGGGAGUUGGAGGCUACAGUCAUGAUCUCUGCUGCUUCCCUUCUCUUGCCUGAAUAACCUUAAAUGCUGAUGGUGCAUCUUCAAAAGGAGAGUGGAAGCAGCCUAUGCAUAGAAUAGUUGCUAGACUGGAAGAAGAUCAAACACAGAACCCUUCAUCCCUGAACUUGAAUUCUGCAAGUGCUCUGUUUUAUAUAGUGACAGAGGAACUGAUACUAUUGCAGUAGAGAAGAAAGCACGCAAGACACUCCAUUAUGGAACCCAAACACUUUGUAUUAAUUAUCUUCCCUGAGGUUGCACAACUUUACCUGGCAUGUAAAGUUAGAAGAUGGAUAGGUCAAUAUUGGGUCUUAAAUAAUUUUGGAUAGAAGGACCUCAACUCCAUCUAGACCCUGCUUGAAGCCCAUUGACAUUAUCCAGCUUAAAAAGUUUGGCGAGUCUUCUGACUUUAGAAUGCGUUAGUACAUCCCCAGGCACACACAAAGAGCUGUGCUUGCAAAGAUGGGAUAUAUACAGGUAGAAAAUGGUGUACAGAAGCAUGUAGGAAGACUCCCUAAGCAUCAGCCAGGGUGACAAAGUGUGCUGGCCCAUGGGUUCCUAGGCUGUAUUCACAGCCCUGGAAUGCCUGCUGGAGACACCCCCCUGUAAUUUAGCUCAUUUGGUGUGCAUUAAGGAUGCUCAUUUCUAGACUCUUAAGUGAAAUGUGAUACUGAACUCAUUCUUCCUCUUACACCAGCAGGCCUUAGCAGAUGGCCAAGAGGCUGAUGGGAAGGAGAGAACAUCAGUUUUAUGGAAAAUGAUGAGAAAACUGAAAAGAUCUUAUUCCGCAGACCAAGGCAUUUACUUAUAUUUAACUGCCUAACCUCAGUCAGAGCCCUGAAUUCCAUUACUCUAUCUGAAUGUUAUGGUAUGGUGAAGUCUUAUUUGGUAAUUACCUGGUCAGAGCCACAGACUAGAAACAAGAUAUGCAGCCAGUAAAAGCCCAGUGGAGUCAUACCAGUUUAUAUUAGCUGAGAAUCCAGACUUCAAUUUCAAAUUAAAAAAUUCAGAAAUUGCAUUUUUCCAUGGCAUUUUGGUCAUAUUAUACAGGGGGAAAAAUAAGAAAAUAAAAAAUAAAGUUGUAGCUAUUUAUAUAACCAAGACAGAAGCAGAACCAAUGUGAAAUCUUUAGCAAUGAAGUUCUACAUCCCAAUUAUUAGAUAUUUCAGUGUUGGUGCCAUUUGGAUUACUGCUUAACUUUAGGGCAGCAAGGUAAGCUCAUUUUCUUGCCUCUGUCUUUUCAGCCACCAUUCGGGCUGCAACCUUCCCAUCCUCCAGGGAGAGGGAGAGAAGUUACACAAUAGGUGUUUUUCCAUGGGCGGAUGUCUAAAUGUGAAGGGAAACAAUUGAAUUUUAAUGACAAUUUUGAGACUCCUGAAGUUAAUUUCUGGGCAGUGCAGAAAUUAGUGGGGAUUGGUGCUGCCAAGAGCUUCAUGUUCUCCUCUCCUUCUAAUGUUGGCAGGAUUAAAGGUCUCAGCUUUUGGCAGAAGUAACUCCCAAAAUAGUAGGGUCCUUCUCUCUUGCCUUCUCUCAAAAGGGAGAGCAAGAGACCUGCUGCUGUCAGACCCAACCAAGGGUCACUGCAGAGCAAUGGCUACAAAAAACAGGGUAACUGCACCAGAUUUACACUACCAGAGAUGUGUUCUCAUUAGGUAUUUACAGCAGAGUAGCAUUAUCUAGGGUGGAAUGGUAAAUUUGUUAGGUGCUGCACAAAACAUUUAACCGGAAAAACUUCCUGCAUCCAAAAGCACUACAAAAACGAUUGAGGAAGGAGAGUGGCAAACAAGGGGAUAUCCUGGGAAAAAAAAGUACACCAGUGAUUACAGCAAAGGCAGCCAGCUAUGAAGGCUUUUCCUACAUGCAGGGUAACAAUAAUUCUGCCAAGGAGGCAAGUUCUUUCCUUUUUACCUAUGCUAUUUCCACUGCAUUACUGAAUCAUGGCUUGUUAAUGACUUAAAAACAAUAAGUUUAAAAAGCUUUAGGAACUUUGUAUUUUUAUAGAAAUUGAUAAAUUGGUACGUAUUGUCUUGGGUAUGACAUAAUCCAAUAGGUUUUGGGGUUGUGGUUGUCAGGGUGGGGUUUUUUAAUGCCUUUAAUAAAGAAGGGAUAAUUUUGGUCUUGUUUUUGUCUUCUUAGAAGAUUCAGAAAGGAAUAUAAUGGGUAGUCCCAGAAUCUGUAUGUAUGUAAUUGUAGAUAGCAAAGUAGAAAAUAAAAGAUGCUUCAAAAUAGUGCCAAUCAUUUAA